rnacentral:rRNA from 1 species
CCCUUAGAUGUUCUGGGCUGCACGCGCGCUACACUGAUGCGCUCAACGAGUUUAUGACCUUGCCCGGAAGGGUUGGGUAAUCUUCUUAAAACGCAUCGUGAUGGGGAUAGAUUAUUGCAAUUAUUAAUCUUCAACGAGGAAUUCCUAGUAAGCGCGAGUCAUCAGCUCGUGCUGAUUACGUCCCUGCCCUUUGUACACACCGCCCGUCGCCCCUACCGAUUGAGUGAUCCGGUGAAUAAUUCGGACUGCAGCAGUGUUCGGUCACGAACGUUGCAGCGGAAAGUUUAGUGAACCUUAUCACUUAGAGGAAGGAGAAGUCGUAACA